rnacentral:sRNA from 1 species
ACACCCUUAUGUACCUGCAGGGACGGUGGACAGCAAGGGCACAGUCCGAGGGGAGAUCGUCUUCAGCACCAGAUAUUGUCGAGCGGAAAUACCAGUCGGCCCUCAUUACACACUUGGACUUCCGAAAGAAGUCAACACUUUCUGGACAGAGAAACAAAGUUUUUACCUAAAUUUCAACUGGGGGAUUUGUGUGCCGGACUCAUGCCACUCGGAGGACAUCAAGGCUUUUCUUAACAAAGGUACACUGGCAGCUUUGCAACUUGAAGUCCAUAAAGUCACGUGUUUUGAUGAGCCAUCAUUAUCUGAGGACCCAGGGGCU